rnacentral:ncRNA from 1 species
AAAGGUUUGGUCCUAGCCUUGGAGUCAAUUCUUAUUUAAUAUACACAUGCAAGUAUCCGCACCCCAGUGAGAACGCCCUUAUUUCCCCUCUAGGGAACAGGAGCUGGUAUCAGGCCCAAUAAUUUGCCCAAAACACCUAGUCUCGCCACACCCUCAAGGGUCUUCAGCAGUGAUAAACAUUGAGCAUGAGCGAUAGCUUGACUCAGUUAAACUUAUUUAGAGCCGGCCAAUCUGGUGCCAGCCGCCGCGGUUACACCAUCGUGGCUCAAAUUGACCCCUUUCGGCGUAAAGCGUGAUUAAAGUUUUUUCCAAACAACUGGAAUUCAACUAAAACUAAGCCGUGACACGCUUGUUUUUAAGAAAACCACAAACGAAAGUUAUUCCAAUUAAUUCAACUUGAACUCACGUCAUCUGAGAAACAAACUGGGAUUAGAUACCCCACUAUGCUCAGUCGUAAACUUUAACUUACUUCCUUCUCGCCAGGGAACUACGAGCUAAGCUUAAAACCCAAAGGACUUGACGGUACCCCAUAUCCCCCUAGAGGAGCCUGUCCUAUAAUCGAUAAUCCCCGUUUAACCUCACCAUUUUUAGUUAUUCAGCCUGUAUACCUCCGUCGUCAGCUUACCACGUGAGCGUUAGUGAGCCAAAUGUUUUUUCAACCACACGUCAGGUCAAGGUGCAACAAAUGAAAUGGGAAGAGAUGGGCUACAUUUUCUAUAUUAGACUACACGAAAGACUUUAUGAAACCUAGUCAGAAGGCGGAUUUAGAAGUAAAAUGGAACUAGAGAGUCCUUUUUAACCUGGCACUGGGGUGUGUACACACCGCCCGUCACCCUCCUCAAUGCUAACAAACAGUUUUUAACACCUUUAAGCAACACAGAAGAGGCAAGUCGUAACAUGGUAAGUAUACCGGAAGGUGUACUUGGAAA